rnacentral:lncRNA from 10 species
UUCCCCUCUCACUCAUAACUGCUUCUUAUACUAUUAAGAAAAUAGAAGCAAUCAGAAGUAAAAUUAAUUUUGCUUCUUCCACGAGAUCUACUAAUGUCCUUCCACUUACCUGUCCAUGUUCUAUCUUUAAAAUUUUUUUUUUAAGCUCAGGGGUACACAUGCAGAUUUGUUAUAUAGGUAAAAUCAUGUCAUGAGGGUUCGUUUUACAGAUGAUUUCAUCACCCAGGUGGUAAGCCUGGUACUUGUUAGUUAUUUUUUCUGCUCUUCUAGAUCUUCCCAUCAUCCACCCUCAGGAGAGCAACCUACAGACUUGCCCAGGAGAAUAGCCAGCAUUGUCCUCAACAGGUGGCCAUUUAAUGGAAUUACCCAAAUGUAGCAGUUGAUGGAAGACUUUGGUGUCUGACAGGUGCAGCUUAUGAGUAACCUGGACAGCAGCCAGAAGUUCUUGUAAGAACAGACCUAGAAGACCACACCUGUUGAUUGAAAACAGUGUCUUCCAACACAAAAAUAUCAAGCCACAUAAAAUGCCAUCCCUAUUUUCCCAUUUUCUGCAUUGGCUGAUUGUCAUUAAAUGAAGGUUAACACUAACUACAGUAUGCAAUUCCAAAUCCUGGAGAUCUCCAUUGGAUAGAUAAUGUACCAAAUUUCAUUUGAAUAAAAUCAUAGCCUUCCCUGAAAUGGGAAGAUUCAUUUUUAAAUUGUCUUCCUAAUGUUGUUGAAGAAUGCCUUUGAAUGCCAUAUAAUAUCCUUUGUAGGGCAUUAAGUUAAUCUAUUUGCUUCCUUAGACAUAAAUUAGUUUGUGUAACUUUCCACAGCUAAAAGCAUUAUGAAAGCUCGCUAAAGGUGAAAGUCAUGUCAUGUGCCUAGAAGGUGAAUGAAACAAGUCUCCAGUGUAAUCUCUUUAGAAGAAAUACACACCAUCCAAUGAGCAAAGCAAAGAAAGAGGCUGUAGGGAGUAGUUGUCUGGAUAAAGAAGAGGAAGCUAUCUAAUAGGAGGCAGCAGGAAGAGAACAGGGAAAAAUCUGUGCCAAGAAGUUUCAGAACAGUCUGCUGACAAGAAUACUUACUGAUAAACUGUUUAAAUUCUGUUUAAACUAUUCACCUAUAAGUAAACCUCUCCUCUCCGAUUUCUGUUCAAUUAUGUCCAUUCUAGUUGUUUUUCUUUCUUUGAAUUGCUAUAAUGACAAAACUCCUUUGUAUAAAGGUUAAGAUGUAAAAGAACACAAUCAAAUUGUCUGUCACAUCUUUUAAAGUAUUGUCAUGUGAACUUUGUUCCUUCCCCUAACUUAGGCCAAAUAUUCUAGGUUUUAGAUCUUAUAUGGGUGACCUGGAUGAAAACUCACAUUACUCAGGUUGUCGUUGCAGUUUAGCUUUCUCCUAGAUACUCUUACGGUCCCGUCAGCCAUGUUUGUCCAUAUCCUGAGUUUAUGUUAGUGCUGGACAUGAACUCUUAGUGCAACCAAUAUAGGAGAAUUCUGGCUUCCUCACUAUGUAAAUAAAAUGCCUUCCUCUAAAGAAUUAAUGAUGCUGGAACAAUGUUUUUGGCCAAGUAUGUUAUACAUAUUUUAUGUAUAUAGAAAUAUAUAUAUGAAAAAAUUAUAAAGCAAUAUUAAUUACUUUCUCUAUAUUCAUUUCCUCUGUAUUCCAUAUCUAACC